rnacentral:rRNA from 1 species
GAUGAACGCUGGCGGCGUGCCUAAUACAUGCAAGUCGAGCGAACAGAUAAGGAGCUUGCUCCUUUGACGUUAGCGGCGGACGGGUGAGUAACACGUGGAUAACCUACCUAUAAGACUGGGAUAACUUCGGGAAACCGGAGCUAAUACCGGAUAACAUAUUGAACCGCAUGGUUCAAUAGUGAAAGGCGGCUUUGCUGUCACUUAUAGAUGGAUCCGCGCCGUAUUAGCUAGUUGGUAAGGUAACGGCUUACCAAGGCAACGAUACGUAGCCGACCUGAGAGGGUGAUCGGCCACACUGGAACUGAGACACGGUCCAGACUCCUACGGGAGGCAGCAGUAGGGAAUCUUCCGCGAUGGGCGAAAGCCUGACGGAGCAACGCCGCGUGAGUGAUGAAGGUCUUCGGAUCGUAAAACUCUGUUAUCAGGGAAGAACAAAUGUGUAAGUAACUGUGCACAUCUUGACGGUACCUGAUCAGAAAGCCACGGCUAACUACG